ACGAACGCUGGCGGCGUGCUUAACACCUGCCAGUCGAACGGAAAGGCCCUGCUUUUGUGGGGUGCUCGAGUGGCGAACGGGUGAGUAACACGUGAGUAACCUGCCCUUGACUUUGGGAUAACUUCAGGAAACUGGGGCUAAUACCGGAUAGGAGCUCCUGCUGCAUGGUGGGGGUUGGAAAGUUUCGGCGGUUGGGGAUGGACUCGCGGCUUAUCAGCUUGUUGGUGGGGUAGUGGCUUACCAAGGCUUUGACGGGUAGCCGGCCUGAGAGGGUGACCGGCCACAUUGGGACUGAGAUACGGCCCAGACUCCUACGGGAGGCAGCAGUGGGGAAUAUUGCACAAUGGGCGGAAGCCUGAUGCAGCAACGCCCCGUGCGGGAUGACGGCCUUCGGGUUGUAAACCGCUUUCGCCUGUGACGAAGCGUGAGUGACGGUAAUGGGUAAAGAAGCACCGGCUAACUACGUG
rnacentral:rRNA from 1 species